ACGGAGGGUGCGAGCGUUGUCCGGAAUCACUGGGCGUAAAGGGCGCGUAGGCGGCCGUGUAAGUCACUUGUGAAAUCCCGGGGCUCAACUCCGGGGCUGCAGGUGAGACUGCAUGGCUAGAGCUCGGUAGAGGCAAGUGGAAUUCCCGGUGUAGCGGUGGAAUGCGUAGAUAUCGGGAAGAACACCGGUGGCGAAGGCGGCAUCCUGGACCGGCAUUGACGCUGAGGCGCGAAAGCCAGGGGAGCAAACGGGA
rnacentral:rRNA from 1 species